rnacentral:other from 1 species
CUACGGCUACUGUUUUCUAACAUGGUGGGAAGAGUCGAAGUCAAGGUUUCCUUGUACUGGCCUCUGUAAGUGCGGGGGAUAUUACUACGAUGUAAAUCAAAACAAAAAUAUUUUUCCCUGAGCUUAACUAGUUUGGUUGUGAGAAUCCAUGUUUUUUUUUUUUUUUAUUCUACUUGAAUGGUGGAUCAAGUAGAUGGCCCACCUGAUG